CCUACGGGAGGCAGCAGUGAGGAAUAUUGGUCAAUGGACGAGAGUCUGAACCAGCCAAGUAGCGUGAAGGAUGAAUGCCCUACGGGUUGUAAACUUCUUUUAUAUGGGAAUAAAACAGGGUAUGCAUACCCUCUUGUAUGUACCCUAUGAAUAAGGAUCGGCUAACUCCGUGCCAGCAGCCGCGGUAAUACGGAGGAUCCGAGCGUUAUCCGGAUUUAUUGGGUUUAAAGGGAUCGUAGGUGGAUGGUUAAGUCAGUUGGGAAAGUUUGCGGCGCAACCGUAAAAUUGCAGUUGAAACUGGCAGUCUUGAGUACAGUAGAGGUAGGCGGAAUUCGUGGUGUAGCGGUGAAAUGCUUAGAUAUCACGAAGAACCCCGAUUGCGAAGGCAGCCCACUGGACUGCAACUGACACUGAUGCUCGAAAGUGUGGGUAUCAAACAGGAUUAGAUACCCUUGUAGUC
rnacentral:rRNA from 1 species